GACGAACGCUGGCGGCAGGCUUAACACAUGCAAGUCGAGCGCCCCGCAAGGGGAGCGGCCGACGGGUGAGUAACGCGUGGGAAUCUACCCAUCUCUACGGAAUAACGCAUGGAAACGUGUGCUAAUACCGUAUACGUCCUUCGGGAGAAAGAUUUAUCGGAGAUGGAUGAGCCCGCGUUGGAUCAGCUAGUUGGUGGGGUAAAGGCCUACCAAGGCGACGAUCCAUAGCUGGUCUGAGAGGAUGAUCAGCCACACUGGGACUGAGACACGGCCCAGACUCCUACGGGAGGCAGCAGUGGGGAAUAUUGGACAAUGGGCGCAAGCCUGAUCCAGCCAUGCCGCGUGAGUGAUGAAGGCCCUAGGGUUGUAAAGCUCUUUCACCGGUGAAGAUAAUGACGGUAACCGGAGAAGAAGCCCCGGCUAACUUCGUGCCAGCCGCCGCCGUAACAC
rnacentral:rRNA from 1 species